rnacentral:lncRNA from 1 species
CCAUCCCCAUUCCACCACCAAACAAAACAAGAACUGUUGGAUCAAUUUGGGAAUCGCCUUCUGCAGCUUCCUUCUAACUGUGGGAUUUCAUUCUGUGGACACCUGCUUCUAAAUAAAUACCUGUGUUUCCCUAAGAGCACUUUUGAUAAAUAAUGUCUCCUCCACCUUUGCAAUGGGAUGCCCAGUUCUUGUUAAGGCUGAAGGUAGAUUCUCCAUGGGGAAUUCUGAAAUGCAGGAGACACACACAGAGAACAAAAAAGAAAAAGCAGGUGAAGAAAGGAGAUUCUGCACCUCAAGCAGGACUUUCUCUGCCUCCUUAUGGAGCAAAACAGACCCAGUCCUUUCCCCAAUAUUUAAGCCCCAUUGCACACCCCUGCCCCAAAGGAUUAAAGGAUGGUUCACUGGAGAAGGAAACGGCAACCCACUCCAGUAUUCAUGCCUGGAAAAUCCCAUGGACCGAGGAGCCUGGUGGGCUACACUCCAUGGGGUCGCAGAGUCGGACAUGACCGAGCGACUUGUGUGUGUGUGUGUGUGUGUGUUAAAAAAAAAAAAAAAAAAGGAUGGUUCAGAGUAUUGACAGCCCUGAGUGACCCCUACCCUGUGCCAAGCAGUUGGGACCUUGAGUCAGAUGAAUCCAGAUCACAGAAACAUUUGAGAAUCAGUUUCCAGAAUGUGGGGUGGGAAGAGGGUUCAUCUUGCCUCCGUUGGAGUGAAAGUGUUAGUUGCUCAGUUGUGUCUGACUCUUUGCAACCCCAUGGACUGUACCCAGAAGGCUCCUCUGUCUGUGAAUUCUCCAGGCAAGAAUGCUGGAGCAGGUUGCCAUUUCCUUCUCCAGGGGAUCUUCUCGACCCAGGGACUGAACCGCAGUCUCCUGCUUUGGCAGGGGGAUUCUUUACCAUCUGGGCCACCAGGGAGGCCUGUUGGGUUGAGAUGCUCCCUUGGUCUUUUUCCACCCCUCUCUAUCCCACUACCCCAUCUGUAACUCCGGUUUGUUCAUGCACAGGAGGGAGAACUCUGACCACUCCACUCCCAUAUAGUACUCCGAGAAAGCUGAGGCCCACAUGGGCCCAAGGAAAGGACUCAUUUUUUCCACAUGCCCUGGCACAUGAGGACCCAGAAGCUACAGGAAAGGUGCCUGAGGAAGCGGCAGGCUUCGAUCCAUGGAACUGGAUCGAAGACUGGAGGCUGUGUGACCAGAACCUGCUCAAGGAAGAUGUCAGGAGCAUCUCUGAGUUAGCCUCCAGGGCAACAAAUUAUACUCAGCCCACCUACUCAGGACACACUGACCUGGCUGGUGCGGAGAAGUUCUGCCCCUUGCCCCUGCACCCAAGGAUGGAUAUAAAGACAGUGCAUUGCUGGUGCAUCUUCGAUAGGAUUUGACAACUGGGUCCUGUCUGAGGACUGAGCUGUGGUGUGAUGCCUCCAGUGAGAGCAACGGAACUCUCUUGAGAAUCAGAUCAGCUACUGGUGAGAAGAAGGAGCUGUGCCUGCCUCCCUCCCCAAACCGUGCUUCCAAGGCAGUGAGGGAGCAGGCCCAGGAAUGCAGUGCGGGGCUAGUGACCUAUCUGAGGCCCCAGGCACUGUCUGGGGCAUCUUUUUUUUUCCAUUUUAGCUUUUUAUAGAUCUAUAAUACAUAUCCAGCAAAAUGUCAGAUGGUGAGUAUGCAGCUCAAUGAAUUUUCACAUUCUGAAUUCACUUGUAUAUUCCACACCCUGAUUAACAAACAGCAUCACCAGCAAUCCAGAAUCCCCUCAGAGACUCACUUUGGUCACUAUAUGCUCUGCAGGCAAUCACUAUCCUAAGUGUUCUUAUUGAGAUAAAACUGAUAUGAUGUCAAAUUAACCAUUUGAAAGUGAACAGUUCAGUAUCACUUAAUCCACUCACAAUGCUGUGCAACCAUGCCCACCUCUGUUUAGUUCCAAAACACUGUCAUCACCCCAAAACAAAGCCCCUCACCCAGGAAGCAGUUCCUCAUCUAUAACCUACCUCACCUCAGCUCCUGGAAACCACCUCUCCGCUUUUUGUUCCUAGAUUUACCUAUUCUGUAUAUUCAUACAAAAGGAGUCAGACAGCAUAUGACCUUUCAUGUUUGGCUUCUUUCACUUAGUGUAAGGUUUUCAAGAUUCAUCCACUUUAUAGCUUCAUCCUUUGUAUCGCUGAACUAUAUGAAUGGGGUACAUUUCUUUAUGCAUUCAUCUAUUGAUGAGUUAUUAUCACUUUUGGUCUAUUAUGAAUAAUGUUGCUCCAAACAUUCAUGUACAAGUGUUUGUUUUAGUACCUGGUUUCAAAUCUUUCAUGUAUAUAUCAAGGAGUGGAAUUUCUGAGCCAUAAGGCAAUCCUAUAUUUAACUUUUUGAGGAACUGCAAAACUGUCUUCCAAA